GUAGGUGGCAAGCGUUGUCCGGAAUUAUUGGGCGUAAAGCGCGCGCAGGCGGUUCUUUAAGUCUGAUGUGAAAGCCCAAGGCUCAACCGUGGAGGGUCAUUGGAAACUGGAGAACUUGAGUACAGAAGAGGAAAGCGGAAUUCCACGUGUAGCGGUGAAAUGCGUAGAGAUGUGGAGGAACACCAGUGGCGAAGGCGGCUUUCUGGUCUGUAACUGACGCUGAGGCGCGAAAGCGUGGGGAGCAAACAGGAUUAGAUACCCUGGUAGUCCACGCCGUAAACGAUGAGUGCUAAGUGUUAGGGGGUUUCCGCCCCCCUUAGUGCUGCAGCUAACGCAUUAAGCACUCCGCCUGGGAGUACGGCCGCAAGGCUG
rnacentral:rRNA from 1 species